rnacentral:ncRNA from 1 species
UAGUCUGCCAUACGCAGGAAGACCCGCUGAACUGAAGCAUCUCAUUAAGCGGAGGAAAAGAAACUAACUAGGAUUCCCUUAGUAAAGGCGAUCGAAAAGGGAACAGCCCAACGUCUUAAUCCCGCAAGGGAAAUGUAGUCGGUUCACCUAUUGCACUGGUCUAAGUCAGAUGGAAUGCUGCGCGAUUCAGAGUAAAAGCCUCGUAUGACCAACCGCAAGCUUACGAUGGACCGGGGAGAGUCGGAUACUUUGAGAGUAGUGUCUUAAGGGGGUGGUAUGUCCCAUCCAAGGCUAAAUAACGUGAGGAGACCGAUAGAUUACAAGUAGUGUGAACGAAAGAUGAAAAGAACUCUAAAACAGAGGGUGAAAAGUUCCUGAACUUGCUUAGGGUUAAGGCUAUUUAUAGUACCCGUCUUGAAACACGGAUUAGGGAGUUUAUCUGUAGUGCGAGUCUUUGCACGUUAACUGUAAAGGCGUAGAGAAAGCAACUGGCGUUUGCAUGGCUACUGAGCAUUACUGAUAGGACCCGAAAGGUGGUGAACUUUGCCUGCACAGGUUGAAGUCAGGGGAAACUCUGAUGGAGGACCGUACGGGUUAUUGAUGUGCAAAUCAUUUUUCUGAUGUAGGUAA